CCAUGCUCACAGCAUAUGGAAGUUCCCAGGCCAGGGAUCUAAUCUGAGCUGGAGCUGUGACUACGCCACAGCUGUAGCAACGCCAGAUCUUUGACCUACUGCACUGGGCAGGGGAUCGAACCAGCACCUCCCAGAGAAAGCUGGAUCAUUAACCCACUGUGCCACAGUGGGAAUUCCUGAUUUUAUAAUUUUUUAAUGUCUUCAAAGUAAAAUCCAAAAAAAAAAAAAAAAACCCUCCACUAAGUGCCAUGUUGGAGGACAAAAAAUUUUUACUGCAGCACCUUUAGACAAAAGAUUGCAUCCUGCUUAACCACACUAUCUAAAUUAUGUUUGUGGAAAAUAUGUACAAACAUAAGCAAGUGCUCUAAGAGGUGACAGAUGUCACUCUGGAAGGCAGUUCCUGGAAGAAGCAAAUGACAUCCAGGGUAAGAACUGCCCCCCAGCGGGGUCUCCUACAUGCUACCUUCAUAAGCCCGGAAGGCCGUAAACACCAGGUGAGAACACCUGCAGUGAGGAUGUGACUGCCCCCCCCCGCCCCGCGACCCCACCCCGGGAAGGGCCGUCUGCAGAUUCUCAAUCAAGUAAUAUUCAGGAGUAAUACUGUACCGUCUUUACAUGUACUGAGUAUUUAAUACGCAAAAUGGCAACAAAUUCAUCAUCAGAUCCAGCUGAUAAGAAAAUAACACAUCCAAAGAGGAUCCACUUAAAGAAAUCAUGAAUUCCAGAGACGUAAUUCCCCUUAGUUGUUGAAACCAGUGACAUGUCCAGUGUUUCAUGAGCUCUUCAAAUGGACCAUGUUAGAAACAGAAAACUAACUUCAUCCAAAGCAGAGACGCUGGCCUCUUAGCUGACAGACCGCUAAGCUUUGGUUGUACACAGAGCGGGUGAACGAGGCCCGGCCCGGCCGGCCAGGUACACUGGCGGUCAGGCAAGUUGCUCUGUCGAUGGGCAGGCUCACAGCUCCCAACUCCUUCCCAAGCAGUCGGAGUGUGCUUUGCAAUUCCAAAACAGCGGACGGGGAAGCUCAAGGAGGCAUAGCAAUUCCUAUUUGUGCUACAACACAUUCAAGAUCUGGCUCUGCUUUUUCUUUAAAUACUUUCACAACUUCUGCUGUAUAAAGUUUUCGAGCUUGAUGAUGAUACAGGCCGUGCACUCCAUCACCCUCAUGGCAACCUCGGAAGUGAACCUGUCGUUUGGGAUCUGGGGGAAGGGCAGCAGGUCGGGGUAUCUUGUUUUUAAACCGUCCACACCAUAGGCUUCCAAGGUGUGGACGUCAUUCGUCAGGCCUUCCAGCUGCUGUCCGUACUCCUCGAUUUUCUGCGCCAGUGCGGUUGGCUUCACGUCUUUGUCAGACUUGCCCCUCACGGCGUAGUCGGCGGCGAUCAGAGCCAGCUUGGUAGAGAGGAAGCAUUUAAAGCACACCCACUCGUUGGCAUUUUUGUGAAGGUCAUUCCUGGCAGCAGAGAAAUUCGCUCUGGCUUGUCGUAACCACCUCCGAGCUUCGACCGGGUUACCGACCGACUUGAACGUGGGAGGAACGAAGAACCGCUGAGAGUAAGUCUGUCCGGCUGAAGGUGGGCACUUUUCCUUGUUUUGUUGCUGCCUCUCAGAUUUAUGGCUCGUUGCCUCUUGAUUCCAGGACGUGUAAAACCUCUGAAAGGAGAACUUGUCUGACGGAAACCGCGAUGCCGGGGUUGAAAAUGGGCGCCUUGAGGCUCUGUCUGAAUUUUGAUCCAGAAAAGCCUGUUUCUCUAAUCUGUUGAUUUCAUUCUGCAAAUGCUUGAAAACUUCAUUAGCAAGGUCAUGGUUUUCUGGGUUCUUGUCAGGGUGCCAUUUCAAAUACAACCGCCUGAUAAUCUUUUUCCGUUCAGACUCUGGAAGCUUCCAGGCUUGCUCCACCACGGAUGUCACCUCUUUUAAAAUUUCUGGUAGAGAAUUCGCCUUCAGCUUUUUGGGGGAAUGAUGCUUGGACGAUGGGGUCUUGGGGGUCUCUCUGCCAGAGAAGAGAGGCGGGAUGCUUCGCAGACCCGGGGCCGGGAACUCCGUGGGGCUGGUGGGUGUGGACGGGGCGCUGUCUCUGCUCUGAGAGCUCUCCUCUGGCCUUGAAAACUUAUACAGAUCGAGAGAGCUAACUAUUUUAUAUUCACUGUAGCCGAUGUCAAUCUGAUAGAUCUUUCCUAGAAAACUGGAGUUGUCCGCAUCUUCCCUCUCAACUUCCUGUACAAUGAUGGCGUACGUAUACGUCGGCUGGUACGACCCGUAGAUGUCACCCCCUUCGGCAUCAACGAGGUACCCCACGUACUCUCCCGGGUAGAAAACGUUCAUCGGAUCCAUAAGCAGCGUGUAGUGAAUCUCUGCAGGUAUCGGCGUGCCGGGCAUUGGGAGUUCAAGUUUCGAUGGCUCCGAGGAGUCGUAUUUCACCCCCAGACUGUCCAGCUUCUCGCUGAUCCUGUAAAUAUCGUUGCAGCCCAGCAUGGCAAUCAGAUAGGAAGUGUCCGAGAUGAGAUUGUCGGUGGCCGACUUCAGCGUCAUGGCCAAGGCCAAGAGGAAGUUGAUGUCUUUGCUGUCCGAGUGCUGGAUGUAGAGCAGGAUGACCGCGGUCCCAAACCUCUUGAGGAAGGCGAACGUCUCACUCCUGCUGUGGGGGAUGGGGUUGAACCCCUUCACCCGCAACGUGGUCUGAAGCUUCUCAAAGCAGGACACCUUCAGUCCUUCGCGCAGGGCUUUGCAGAGUCGGAUGGCUUUCUCCUCGUUGGCCAGGAAGGCGUUGUCGUUUUCGUGCUUCAUGAUUCGAAUCAGGCCCGUGAUGAACUGCUCCGAAGACAGGAGCAACUGCAGCCUGCCCUGCAGGGAGCACAGGGCUCCAAACUGGCAGACCUUGGGCACUCUUGAACAAGCCGGACACUACUCUCUUGACGGUGCGCAUCUCAUUGGGAUCCAGCUGCUUUCCUUCGGAAUUUUUGAAUAUGCGGCUCAGCACCUCGACAUACUGCUUCGUGGAAAUGACGUCCUCAGUCCCCAGGUGUUUGAAGAGCUGAUGAAAGGUGCCGAGCUCCAACGGCAGCUUGUACAGAUACGGUUUGAAGUCGGACUCGUACUCCAGGUUUAUCACCACCUCCUCUGGCUUCAGAAGUUUCCAGCCAUCCUCCACCAUCACGAAAGCAACCCCCCGCAGCUGAAAGCGAAACUCCCUUUUUUCUGCGCUGAGAAAUUCGUAUAUGCUCCGCAAGACCCUUGCUCUGGUUUUGACCAUGUCUUCGUCCAGGGUCGUGAUGUUGCAUAUGUUUCUGCAGUUACUGAUGACCUUAUCCAGAGGCGGGUCCAGGUUCACGCUCAGCAUGCUCAAAACCUGCUCCAGCUGCUCCUGUGGGCCAAGCUCGCUGCCCUCUUGCUCUCUGAUGCUCAAGGGUGUGGCUUUCUCUGGAAGGAUAGGGCAGGACGUCCAUAAGAGCUGGAGCACAUCGCAUUGCUUGAAUUUGGGAUUUACCUGGGCUCCGUUGAACUUUAUAAGAGGAAGGGUUCCGUUCACUUCUUGAUACUGAGGGUGAAAUCGAAUAAAUUCAGCAGGGGCCCGCUCGGGACAUAAGAAUGGUAUUAAAGAGAGUUCCUUCAGGAAAUUUCCAGAUAACAAAUCCAUUCGUUCCUGGAAAAUAUGGUGGAGAAGGAUAUCAACUGUGUUUUGCAGCGUUUCUUUGGACCAGUUUUCCGUAUUGGCUCUCACACUGAUUUCCUUAGCAAACUGUAACAACUGCUGCUGAGAAAGUAUGUGUUUUAGUCCAAUAUUUCUCAAGAAUUCUACCCAGGAGGUCAUAAAUGCAGCUUGAUUUUUGGGCUUUAUAAGUUGUUCCAAUUUUUUAAAGAAGUCCUUAGGAAUAAACAAUUUCUCAGGAAGCAUAACCUCAAAAACUCUCACGGUUCUAUCAUAGAAAUGUUUUGCUUGCUUUAGCCGCCCGUUGGCGUCAUGAAUUAUCAGUAAACUUUCCAGCUUUUCAAAAAGUUGUUCCUUGAUCUCUGACAGUUCCUCGCUACUUGAUAACCUAUUCUUAAGAUAGAUGAGAUGCUCUAAUUUUGCAUCGUAGGAGAGAUUUUCAAUUUUUGGUAGGAGGUGUUUCAGAUAAACCUCCAGAUCAUCUACGGGGACACAACCGAGCACCUCGUACAGUUCCUUUAGGUGCAUUUUUUCUUCAAGAAACGCAGACGACGAUAAUUGUGUCCACUUUUCCACUUCGGCCGAAGGGAUGCUUUUCGUGAGCACAUAGCACGUUCCGAAUUUUGCAAUGCUCAUGUAGCGACCACUGAUGGACUUGUAGCAGGGAAGUGACUUUAGAAUUUUUAUGUCGUCUUGGGACAUCAGGUGAUUCAAAUUGCAGUUGAAAUACAUCAAGAGCGCUUCAAAGUCGUUUUCUACUAACUUGUCCGUUCUAAAUGUUGAGGUUUGGACCAUGUAGUGCACAGCCUUCAGAAUACUCGUGGGGCUCUCGAUGUUUGCCGUGUGACGGGACAGCAGAGGAACAAACGCACUGUCUUUGGAGCAGAUCUUGUUCAAGGCAAGCUGGAUACAGCCGGCUUUCAUGAGAGCGUGGAAAACCUUGUCGCUCUGGGCGUUUGGGAAAACGGCGAUGUGCAUGAGACUCAGAGGCAGCAGGACGUCGCCCUCGGGCACCACCAGCUGAUUGGCCGAAACCGUGAACUUGGUUCCGGGGAGCAGCGCCCAGUCUUUCAGGGUGUCAGCGACAGCGUCGAAGUUGGGUUUUGCCUCGUCUUGAUCUUCCUUGACAUUGACAGCUUCACUGACAAAAUGCCAGGCAUUCUUAAGCCAAGACUCACUUGCAAAGUUGUCCUUCCACUUUGUACAGGUUUUGGUCUUAUACUCACGAGGCAGCACGGACGAUAACAAGUCAGCGAAGCUGGAAAUGUCAAACACUUUGGCCACGUUGCAGCUCAGCAAGAUGUUACUGUACUUCAGAUACAGCGUGUUCAUGAACAGGUCUUUGCGGGACGGGAUCAGUUCGUGGUACGUGGUCAGAAACUUGGGUCGCCUUGCGUCGAACGUUUGCAGCACGCUGUCCAGGGUGAUGAGGAGGGGCAGGCCCUCCACCUCGAUCUCACGUUCCUCUGCGUCCUUAAAGCAGUAAUCAACCAAAAGUUUCAAACUGUGGAACAGCUUCAGGUUGGUCUGCUGCAGACGACAAGGCAGCUUCCCGAUGUGGCAGCUCGUGUCGGGGGAGGAAAACGUCAUGAGAAAAGCCCGGACGUCGGCGGGGGUGACGUAACUCACAGGAAUGUCGGCGUCCACGAGGCAGUGGUACAGGUUAGCAGUUUCAUCACAGUUGUAAACCAGGUUGAAACCAAUUUCCAAAAGCAGGUGCUUCAGCCUGUAGACGUUCUCCGCCACUGUUUUGCGUGUGGUGAUGUUAUAAUCUGCAUUUUUCAGGUGCUGUAACUCAUCCUGCAGUAAAUUGUCAAAAAAGGGUCUGGUCUUGCUUGAGGUCGACAUGUUAAUCCAGGUGAUUAUAACUGCAGAGUGCAGGUCGGAGCCGUCGAUGUUGGGAGCCCGGACGACAGGUAAGAGGCGCUUCAUGUCUUCGUGAAUGCAGCUGUACAGGGCUUUCACCAGACAGUACAGGUCCGGCUGCAGAUCAAGCCUGUUCACGGGGAAAAACGACAAAAACUUCUUCAGCGUGUCCUUCACCACGUGAAUGGGCGUGUUCUGUAAAACGGACAGUGCUGGGUCGGAACCCGGGAAGUACCGCUUUUUCAACUGGAUCAGCAGUUCCACGUAGGCGGGCGCGAUGAGGGCCGUCAUGAGGCUGUUGUUCCAGUCACUCCGAACGCCGACCCCGUCAUCGUCCCGCCACAGGUUCCUCCUGGCUGAGUCGAGGGCAAAGUGGCCGUUGACGUGGAAGGGGAGCCCCGUCUCCAAAGAGAGGGGCAAAAAGCAGAAGGCCCGGUGGGGCUUCUUGUAGUUGUGCGUGAUGCAGGCAGCCACUCCGCCGCGGGGGAAGAGGGUGAUGUCCUGGUUCCUGUGGGCUGACAGGACGCUCCUGGACACCCUCUCCAGGCUUGAGAAGCCCGACCUGUUGCAGAUGAGCCAGG
rnacentral:lncRNA from 1 species